CGCUAUGAAUUUUCAAAGCAAAAACAAGGCCCACAAGCUUCCAGAGGGAAUUGUAGAAAAACCCAAAAAAAUAUCUUAUAGAGUAGGCACUAAGCGUUAUAUAUAACCCUUUCUCCCCUUUAAAACAAUCACUAGUUAACCCUAUCAUAAUUCAUAUCAAAGAAGCCAUCGGCUUCAACCCAACAUGGCGUGUAAGAUGAUCCCUGUGCUGCCAAUACUUGUUCUACUGUUAUCAUUUUCACUAUUCUUGCCUCCAUCUUUAACCACAGGCAGUCACUUAAUUGGAAACAAGGUGAAGCAAGAGAGUCGGAGAAAUCUGAUAGGUGUAAACCCAGGACCAGGUGGUCAUGGACCAAGUGGUUAUGUACCCCGAGGUCCUGAUCGCUGCUGCUGAUAAUAGCGAGAGGGAAAACUUUACUCAGGCUCAUUAUUAAUGCUCGGUACUCAGUAGGUUGUAUUUGUGUCAUAUUUCUACUGUUGUAUUUGACGAGAAGGGAUUAAAUGAAAUUGUGAUUUCACGUCAUUCUUAUCUCUUUCUAAUAGAAUAAUGACAAAUCAGAUUUUUUCUCCUAAUUUUUAGCAUUUUUAGUUGGAUUUGAUUUUUUUUCAAGAGGAAAAAUUAAGCUGAAAAUUUGGAGGAAAAUCCAAUUUAUCAUUCUCCUAUUGAAAUAAGAAUGACACGGAAUCAUAGUUUUAUACAAUUCAUUCUCUGUAUUUCAUAUCAAAAUCUUCUUCCUAUAUA